rnacentral:rRNA from 1 species
GACAGAGGGGGCAAGCGUUGCUCGGAAUUACUGGGCGUAAAGAGCUCGUAGGUGGUUUGUCGCGUUGUUCGUGAAAACUCACAACUCAAUUGUGGGCGUGCGGGCGAUACGGGCAGACUGGAGUACUGCAGGGGAGACUGGAAUUCCUGGUGUAGCGGUGGAAUGCGCAGAUAUCAGGAGGAACACCGGUGGCGAAGGCGGGUCUCUGGGCAGUAACUGACGCUGAGGAGCGAAAGCGUGGGGAGCGAACAGG